CAGGUUCAACCGAUUGUAGAAGAUCUCAAGAAAGAAGUGAAUGACUUGAACAUAAAACAGGCAUCAGACGUGAAAUACACACAGCAAUUGAAAACGGAAAUUGCCGAGCAGACAUCGAGUCAGGCCGAGUUGAAGGUGCUGAUCGCAAACAACGUUGAAGAAUCGGAGA